UCUGGGGUAGUAUUUAUUAGACUGAAACCAACCCCUUCGGGGUGAUGCCUGGUGAUUCAUAAUAAACGUGCGGAUCGCAUGCCUCUGGCGGCGAUGGAUCAUUCAAGUUUCUGCCCUAUCAGCUUUGGAUGGUAGGGUAUUGGCCUACCAUGGCUUUAACGGGUAACGGGAAAUUAGGGUUUGAUUCCGGAGAGGGAGCCUGAGAGAC
rnacentral:rRNA from 1 species